rnacentral:lncRNA from 1 species
AGGGUGAGGGAGGGGGUGGGAUGGGUGGGGGGUAACGGGGGAAACUGGGGAAGUGGGGAACCGAGGGGCAACCAGGGGAAGAUGGGGUGCUGGAGGAGAGCUUGUGGGAGCCAAGGAGCACCUUGGACAUCUGGAGUCUGGCAGGAGUGAUGACGGGUGGAGGGGCUAGCUCGAGGCAGGGCUGGUGGGGCCUGAGGCCAGUGAGGAGUGUGGAGUAGGCGCCCAGGCAUCGUGCAGACAGGGCGACAUCAGCUGGGGACGAUGGGCCUGAGCUAGGGCUGGAAAGAAGGGGGAGCCAGGCAUUCAUCCCGGUCACUUUUGGUUACAGGACGUGGCAGCUGGUUGGACGAGGGGAGCUGGUGGGCAGGGUUUGAUCCCAGGGCCUGGGCAACGGAGGUGUAGCUGGCAGCAGCGGGCAGGUGAGGACCCCAUCUGCCGGGCAGGUGAGUCCCUUCCCUCCCCAGGCCUCGCUUCCCCAGCCUUCUGAAAGAAGGAGGUUUAGGGGAUCGAGGGCUGGCGGGGAGAAGCAGACACCCUCCCAGCAGAGGGGCAGGAUGGGGGCAGGAGAGUUAGCAAAGGUGACAUCUUCUCGGGGGGAGCCGAGACUGCGCAAGGCUGGGGGGUUAUGGGCCCGUUCCAGGCAGAAAGAGCAAGAGGGCAGGGAGGGAGCACAGGGGUGGCCAGCGUAGGGUCCAGCACGUGGGGUGGUACCCCAGGCCUGGGUCAGACAGGGACAUGGCAGGGGACACAGGACAGAGGGGUCCCCAGCUGCCACCUCACCCACCGCAAUUCAUUUAGUAGCAGGCACAGGGGCAGCUCCGGCACGGCUUUCUCAGGCCUAUGCCGGAGCCUCGAGGGCUGGAGAGCGGGAAGACAGGCAGUGCUCGGGGAGUUGCAGCAGGACGUCACCAGGAGGGCGAAGCGGCCACGGGAGGGGGGCCCCGGGACAUUGCGCAGCAAGGAGGCUGCAGGGGCUCGGCCUGCGGGCGCCGGUCCCACGAGGCACUGCGGCCCAGGGUCUGGUGCGGAGAGGGCCCACAGUGGACUUGGUGACGCUGUAUGCCCUCACCGCUCAGCCCCUGGGGCUGGCUUGGCAGACAGUACAGCAUCCAGGGGAGUCAAGGGCAUGGGGCGAGACCAGACUAGGCGAGGCGGGCGGGGCGGAGUGAAUGAGCUCUCAGGAGGGAGGAUGGUGCAGGCAGGGGUGAGGAGCGCAGCGGGCGGCGAGCGGGAGGCACUGGCCUCCAGAGCCCGUGGCCAAGGCGGGCCUCGCGGGCGGCGACGGAGCCGGGAUCGGUGCCUCAGCGUUCGGGCUGGAGACGAGGCCAGGUCUCCAGCUGGGGUGGACGUGCCCACCAGCUGCCGAAGGCCAAGACGCCAGGUCCGGUGGACGUGACAAGCAGGACAUGACAUGGUCCGGUGUGACGGCGAGGACAGAGGAGGCGCGUCCGGCCUUCCUGAACACCUUAGGCUGGUGGGGCUGCGGCAAGAAGCGGGUCUGUUUCUUUACUUCCUCCACGGAGUCGGCACACUAUGGCUGCCCUCUGGGCUCCCAGAACCCACAACAUGAAAGCUUGGAAAUGAAUAUGCUGCACUUUACAACCACUGCACUACCUGACUCAGGAAUCGGCUCUGGAAGGUGAAGCUAGAGGAACCAGACCUCAUCAGCCCAACAUCAAAGACACCAUCGGAACAGCAGCGCCCGCAGCACCCACCCCGCACCGGCGACUCCAUCUUCAUGGCCACCCCCUGCGGCGGACGGUUGACCACCAGCCACCACAUCAUCCCAGAGCUGAGCUCCUCCAGCGGGAUGACGCCGUCCCCACCACCUCCCUCUUCUUCUUUUUCAUCCUUCUGUCUCUUUGUUUCUGAGCUUUCCUGUCUUUCCUUUUUUCUGAGAGAUUCAAAGCCUCCACGACUCUGUUUCCCCCGUCCCUUCUGAAUUUAAUUUGCACUAAGUCAUUUGCACUGGUUGGAGUUGUGGAGACGGCCUUGAGUCUCAGUACGAGUGUGCGUGAGUGUGAGCCACCUUGGCAAGUGCCUGUGCAGGGCCCGGCCGCCCUCCAUCUGGGCCGGGUGACUGGGCGCCGGCUGUGUGCCCGAGGCCUCACCCUGCCCUCGCCUAGUCUGGAAGCUCCGACCGACAUCACGGAGCAGCCUUCAAGCAUUCCAUUACGCCCCAUCUCGCUCUGUGCCCCUCCCCACCAGGGCUUCAGCAGGAGCCCUGGACUCAUCAUCAAUAAACACUGUUACAGCAA